GAUAAUCUAGUAAUUCUUAGAAGCUGACUUUUAAUCAGUAGGUCCAGGGUUCGAAUCCCUGCGCGGUCACCA
rnacentral:tRNA from 1 species